CCCCCGGAUCUGACAGAGACUUGCGCCUCCCUGCCCUGGCCACAAAUCUCUCUGAGGACACUUCGACGUGCGGCCAAGCUGCCACGGCGGGCGCGACACAGCCCCCAGGUCUGACAGAGACUGGCAGUCUCCCUGCCCUGGCCACAGAUGUGGUAAGCUCAUUUUGAGGCUGCCAGCCAUGUGCAGCAAUGGCAAGAGGUGUCGUGUUUAUGAUUACGAUGUGCAUUUUUUUAGUCUGAGGACACUUAACGUGCAGCCACGCUGCCACAGCAGGUGCGACACAGGUAAAGGAAGAUUUAGUGUUUACUUUCAUGACUAUUGAUCACUGCAUGCAGUCGAAAGCGUAGCAGAAGAUGCCACAACAUGUUUUUCUGCAGCCCUCAGGUGCGACAGAGACUGGCAGCCUCCCUGCCCUGGCCACAGAUGUGUCGAAUGACACUUCGACGUGCGACCAAGCUGCCUUGUCAGGUGCGACACAGCUGGCUGAUUCAUCGACCAGUGGCUGCGACCAACCUUACAGACCCUCUGCGAUGCAGAUCACACGAAAAGAUCAAGGCACUCAGUGGGAGCGCUUCCAGGAGGAACAUUCGUACAGUCGACCAGUACCUCCAGCCGGC